GAACCUGAUGAAAUUGUAGCUGCCUUUGCCUCUUCUUCCCUGAAGCCUCAUCUAGCCAUAGCUGAGAUAGCAAAGAAUGUUUUUGUCAUUGGGAAGAUACAGAGGGAAGGUGGUCUGCGGCUGAAGCCUGAUCGUUUGGCUGUAGUUGGUGGUGGCUUCACAGAAGAUACACCAGCAAGACUAGAACAUAUAGCACUCUAAAAAAAAAAAAAAAAAAAAGUCAGCUACUCAGGAAGCUAUCAAAUGGAUCCCAAGAAUGUGGACAUUCUGACCCAGCUCAUUCAGAUUCACUUAUCUCACAAUAAAAAGCCUAGCUGGAAUACACCAGCUGUACAGAAGAAGAUAAAUAGUUCAGAUGUCUAUUUGGAACCACUGCUCACUGCUGCUUAUUGCUGA
rnacentral:lncRNA from 1 species